UACGAAGGUGGCAAGCGUUGUUCGGAAUUACUGGGCGUAAAGUGUGCGCAGGCGGCUGAGCAAGUCGAGUGUGAAAGCCCCGGGCUUAACUUGGGAAUUGCGCUCGAAACUACUUGGCUGGAGUGUGGCAGAGGAGGGUGGAAUUCCACGUGUAGCGGUGAAAUGCGUAGAGAUGUGGAGGAACACCAAUGGCGAAGGCAGCCCUCUGGGCCAACACUGACGCUCAUGCACGAAAGCGUGGGGAGCAAACAGG
rnacentral:rRNA from 1 species